rnacentral:rRNA from 2 species
UGGGAAGUCCUCGUGUUGCACCCAUU